GCCAUUGUAAGAAGCUUACAAUAUUGUUCCUCAAAACCUGCAAGUUUUGUUUCAUUCCCAUGUUUUUACUGCAUUCUUUUGUUUGAUGUGGCUGCAACAGAUUAAGGGUAGAAACUGGACUUCUCAGUAACAUGACAAUGGUGUUGACUUAGUGAGAAAUCUUAAGGCAUUCAAGUCGAGUCUUGCUUGUUGCGUAAAUUCAAGCGAGAAAUCCUAUGGCGUUCAAGUCGGUUUUGUUUAUGAAAUGAAUGUAUUACAAGAGUUUUUUGUUUUAUUAGAGCUAAUGAAAUAUUAUAUAUUUUGAUAGUUUA